rnacentral:rRNA from 1 species
UUUAUGGAGAGUUUGAUCCUGGCUCAGAGUGAACGCUGGCGGCGUGCCUAAUACAUGCAAGUCGAACGAUGAAGCUUCUAGCUUGCUAGAAGUGGAUUAGUGGCGCACGGGUGAGUAACGCAUAGGUCAUGUGCCUCUUAGUUUGGGAUAGCCAUUGGAAACGAUGAUUAAUACCAGAUACUCCCUACGGGGGAAAGAUUUAUCGCUAAGAGAUCAGCCUAUGUCCUAUCAGCUUGUUGGUAAGGUAAUGGCUUACCAAGGCUAUGACGGGUAUCCGGCCUGAGAGGGUGAACGGACACACUGGAACUGAGACACGGUCCAGACUCCUACGGGAGGCAGCAGUAGGGAAUAUUGCUCAAUGGGGGAAACCCUGAAGCAGCAACGCCGCGUGGAGGAUGAAGGUUUUAGGAUUGUAAACUCCUUUUGUUAGAGAAGAUAAUGACGGUAUCUAACGAAUAAGCACCGGCUAACUCCGUGCCAGCAGCCGCGGUAAUACGGAGAGUGCAAGCGUUACUCGGAAUCACUGGGCGUAAAGAGCGCGUAGGCGGGAUAGUCAGUCAGGUGUGAAAUCCUAUGGCUUAACCAUAGAACUGCAUUUGAAACUACUAUUCUAGAGUGUGGGAGAGGUAGGUGGAAUUCUUGGUGUAGGGGUAAAAUCCGUAGAGAUCAAGAGGAAUACUCAUUGCGAAGGCGACCUGCUGGAACAUUACUGACGCUGAUUGCGCGAAAGCGUGGGGAGCAAACAGGAUUAGAUACCCUGGUAGUCCACGCCCUAAACGAUGGAUGCUAGUUGUUGGAGGGCUUAGUCUCUCCAGUAAUGCAGCUAACGCAUUAAGCAUCCCGCCUGGGGAGUACGGUCGCAAGAUUAAAACUCAAAGGAAUAGACGGGGACCCGCACAAGCGGUGGAGCAUGUGGUUUAAUUCGAAGAUACACGAAGAACCUUACCUAGGCUUGACAUUGAGAGAAUCCGCUAGAAAUAGUGGAGUGUCUAGCUUGCUAGACCUUGAAAACAGGUGCUGCACGGCUGUCGUCAGCUCGUGUCGUGAGAUGUUGGGUUAAGUCCCGCAACGAGCGCAACCCCCUUUCUUAGUUGCUAACAGGUCAUGCUGAGAACUCUAAGGAUACUGCCUCCGUAAGGAGGAGGAAGGUGGGGACGACGUCAAGUCAUCAUGGCCCUUACGCCUAGGGCUACACACGUGCUACAAUGGGGUGCACAAAGAGAAGCAAUACUGCGAAGUGGAGCCAAUCUUCAAAACGCCUCUCAGUUCGGAUUGUAGGCUGCAACUCGCCUGCAUGAAGCUGGAAUCGCUAGUAAUCGCAAAUCAGCCAUGUUGCGGUGAAUACGUUCCCGGGUCUUGUACUCACCGCCCGUCACACCAUGGGAGUUGUGUUUGCCUUAAGUCAGGAUGCUAAAUUAGCUACUGCCCACGGCACACACAGCGACUGGGGUGAAGUCGUAACAAGGUAACCGUAGGUGAACCUGCGGUUGGAUCACCUCCUUU